AGGGAUGGAGGCCUUCGGGUUGUGAACCUCUUUCGCCAGUGAAGCAGGCCUGCUCCUUGUGGGUGGGUUGACGGUAGCUGGAUAAGAAGCGCCGGCUAACUACGUGCCAGCAGCCGCGGUAAUACGUAGGGCGCGAGCGUUGUCCGGAAUUAUUGGGCGUAAAGAGCUCGUAGGCGGCUGGUCGCGUCUGUCGUGAAAUCCUCUGGCUUAACUGGGGGCUUGCGGUGGGUACGGGCCGGCUUGAGUGCGGUAGGGGAGACUGGAACUCCUGGUGUAGCGGUGGAAUGCGCAGAUAUCAGGAAGAACACCGGUGGCGAAGGCGGGUCUCUGGGCCGUUACUGACGCUGAGGAGCGAAAGCGUGGGGAGCGAACAGGAUUAGAUACCCUGGUAGUCCACGCCGUAAACGUUGGGCACUAGGUGUGGGGGGCCUUUUCCGGGUCUUCCGCGCCGUAGCUAACGCAUUAAGUGCCCCGCCUGG
rnacentral:rRNA from 1 species